rnacentral:rRNA from 1 species
GAUGAACGCUGGCGGCGUGCCUAAUACAUGCCAGUCGAGCGAACGGACGAGAAGCUUGCUUCUCUGAUGUUAGCGGCGGACGGGUGAGUAACACGUGGAUAACCUACCUAUAAGACUGGGAUAACUUCGGGAAACCGGAGCUAAUACCGGAUAAUAUUUUGAACCGCAUGGUUCAAAAGUGAAAGACGGUCUUGCUGUCACUUAUAGAUGGAUCCUCGCUGCAUUAGCUAGUUGGUAAGGUAACGGCUUAUCAAGGCAACGAUGCAUAGCCGACCUGAGAGGGUGAUCGGCCACACGGGAACUGAGACACGGUCCAGACGCCUACGGGAGGCAGCAGUAGGGAAUCUUCCGCAAUGGGCGAAAGCCUGACGGAGCAACGCCGCGUGAGUGAUGAAGGUCUUCGGAUCGUAAAACUCUGUUAUUAGGGAAGAACAUAUGUGUAAGUAACUGUGCACAUCUUGACGGUACCUAAUCAGAAAGCCACGGCUAACUACGUG